UUUAUGGAGAGUUUGAUCCUGGCUCAGGAUGAACGCUGGCGGCGUGCCUAAUACAUGCAAGUCGAGCGAACGGAUGAGAAGCUUGCUUCUCUGAUGUUAGCGGCGGACGGGUGAGUAACACGUGGAUAACCUACCUAUAAGACUGGGAUAACUUCGGGAAACCGGAGCUAAUACCGGAUAAUAUUUUGAACCGCAUGGUUCAAAAGUGAAAGACGGUCUUGCUGUCACUUAUAGAUGGAUCCGCGCUGCAUUAGCUGGUUGGUAAGGUAACGGCUUACCAAGGCAACGAUGCAUAGCCGACCUGAGAGGGUGAUCGGCCACACUGGAACUGAGACACGGUCCAGACUCCUACGGGAGGCAGCAGUAGGGAAUCUUCCGCAAUGGGCGAAAGCCUGACGGAGCAACGCCGCGUGAGUGAUGAAGGUCUUCGGAUCGUAAAACUCUGUUAUUAGGGAAGAACAUAUGUGUAAGUAACUGUGCACAUCUUGACGGUACCUAAUCAGAAAGCCACGGCUAACUACGUGCCAGCAGCCGCGGUAAUACGUAGGUGGCAAGCGUUAUCCGGAAUUAUUGGGCGUAAAGCGCGCGUAGGCGGUUUUUUAAGUCUGAUGUG
rnacentral:rRNA from 1 species